rnacentral:rRNA from 1 species
GAUGAACGCUGGCGGCGUGCCUAAUACAUGCAAGUCGAGCGAACGGACGAGAAGCUUGCUUCUCUGAUGUUAGCGGCGGACGGGUGAGUAACACGUGGAUAACCUACCUAUAAGACUGGGAUAACUUCGGGAAACCGGAGCUAAUACCGGAUAAUAUUUUGAACCGCAUGGUUCAAAAGUGAAAGACGGUCUUGCUGUCACUUAUAGAUGGAUCCGCGCUGCAUUAGCUAGUUGGUAAGGUAACGGCUUACCAAGGCAACGAUGCAUAGCCGACCUGAGAGGAUGAUCGGCCACACUGGAACUGAGACACGGUCCAGACUCCUACGGGAGGCAGCAGUAGGGAAUCUUCCGCAAUGGGCGAAAGCCUGACGGAGCAACGCCGCGUGAGUGAUGAAGGUCUUCGGAUCGUAAAACUCUGUUAUUAGGGAAGAACAUAUGUGUAAGUAACUGUGCACAUCUUGACGUUACCUAAUCAGAAAGCCACGGCUAACUACGUG